rnacentral:rRNA from 1 species
GACGGAGGAUGCAAGUGUUAUCCGGAAUCACUGGGCGUAAAGCGUCUGUAGGUGGUUUAAAAAGUCCACUGUUAAAAAUUGAAGCUUAACUUCAAAGAUGCCGUGGAAACUUUUAAACUUGAGUAUGAUAGGGGUAGAGGGAAUUUCCAGUGGAGCGGUGAAAUGCGUAGAUAUUGGAAAGACCACCAGUGGCGAAGGCACUCUACUGGGCCAUUACUGACACUGAGAGACGAAAGCUAGGGGAGCGAAUGGG